rnacentral:rRNA from 1 species
UACGAAGGGGGCGAGCGUUGUUCGGAUUUACUGGGCGUAAAGGGCGCGUAGGCGGCCAUCUUUGUCAGGCGUGAAAGCCCCGGGCUCAACCUGGGAACUGCGUCUGGGACGGGGUGGCUAGAGAUCGGGAGAGGAGCGUGGAACUCCCGGUGUAGCGGUGGAAUGCGUAGAGAUCGGGAAGAACACCCGUGGCGAAGGCGGCGUGCUGGGUUGCAACUGACGCUGAGAUGCGAAAGUGUGGGGAGCAAACGGG